ACAGCAGCACGUGCAAAGCGCUUUGAAAGCGCUAUUGAGAAUGCACCUCCCAAAACCGCUGUCAGUUACGCACUUUUUUGACAGAUGGCUAUUUUGAUGGAUUUUGAUUCAUAGUGUGCCAAAAAUGAUUUCUAAGACUAAAACGUUGCUUGAAAACAUGUAAUUCACUUUGAAAAAUACUCAAAAACACUUUCGUCAAUCAUGCGCGUAAAAAGCGCUUUAAAAGCGCUGUUGAGAAUGCACCUCCCAAAACCGCUGUCAGUACGCACUUUUUUGGCAGGUGGCUAUUUUGAUGGAUUUUGAUUCACAGUGUGCCAAAAAUUAUUUCUAAGACUAUCAAAGGUUGCUUGAAAACAUGUAAUUUAUUUUGCAAAACAUUUAAAAACAUUUUCGUCAAUCAUGCGUGUAAAAAGCGCUUUGAAAGCGCACGUAGCACAAGAGCGCGUGCAAAGCACUUUGAAAGCGCUGUUGAGAAUGCAUCUUCUAAAAUUGCUGUGGAAAUGUGCAAAUCGCGUAUAAAACAUCUAUAAUAACUUUCAAAUCUUUUAGAAAUAAUUUUUGACUCGCAUGAGAAAAACAUGACUCGCCCUCGUGUCUUUGUGGAGGGUUAAAACACGACAUUUAUUAAAUAUAUCAGACGCUCGCUGCGAUACCGUCAUAUACGGGCGCGAUUCGGCUUUUGCAUAAUGACAACGAUUGGCGCACGGCGAAACGUGACGCGGUAGCCAGUUAAUUUAUCGCUUUUUCGUAUAAGCGAAAGAAUAGGUAAUUGGCUACCGCGUCGUAAUGUAUCUCGAGCGUGGCAAGUGCGGGAUGCAUAUAUGUGCACGCGGCAUUACUCGCGAGUACGGAGAGAGGCGGGGGAGGGGGGUCGGACUCACGCCCACAACGCCUGCGUCCGAUUGUCUUUUUCAAAGUCGCGAAUCGUAAACAUGUCUGUACGUGCGUGCGUGUUCAUCAGUCUCGUCGAGGUUAUUAUUCGAUCAAGGCCCGCGGCGUAGUCUCGAUCUGUGUGCAAACGCGUCAAGACGUGUUUCGUUCGGUAUAGAAUUUUGUGAAAAUUGACGAUGUAAUAUAUCAUCCGUGUGGUAGUGGGUUAAUAUACGAGUAAAAAGAAGAGGAAUAAAAGCAUAUAUUUUGAGUAAUGGUCGUAUAACCCCUGAUCAAAAGAGCUUGAACCAAUAUUGUCUGAACUAGUCAUCAAGGUCGUCGUCGUCUUUGGACGUGGAUACUCUCAUUUUUUACAGAGAGUCAUCCGUUCCGAAUUGCGCAUCAGACGCAUAGCGUAUUAUUUGUGUUUCGUCCGGUAUAGAAUUUUGUAAAAAUUGACGACCUAAUUAUAUCAUCCGUGUGGUAGUGGGUUAAUAUAUACGAGUAAAAAGAAGAGGAAUAAACGCAUAUAUUUUGAGUAAUGGUCGUACAGCCCCUGAUCAAGGGAGUUUGAACCAAAUAUUGUCUGGACUAGUCAUCAAAGUCGUCGUCGUCUUCGGACGUGGAUACUCCUAUUUAAUUUUGCUGCCUAGUUGUGUCGUCCCUGACAACAUAAGUGGGAACAGGAACCUGCAUGGUGCUACGUUAUAGAUUAGCUAAUAUACUAACUAGCUAAUAAUAACAAUCAAAACAGCGAAAUUGUUGACGUGUUCGGACGUGGUUACUCAUGAAUUCUUCCGUAUCCCAUUUUAGUGUUGUAGCUGGGAGAGGGGUACACGAAGGAGAAAUGGCUACUAGUAUAUGUAAGAAAAUUUUCUCUCCUGAGGUUGCAUUACAACUGAAUUAAACAGGGACAGAGAUAAAAAAAGGAAUCAAGUCACUAAAGUGUGAUGCAUGUGGCAAACAAUAUAAAAGAAAUUUUUCGAGAUCAAAAGUCACAGGCUCCAUAAGUACGUGGUUUCGAAGUAAUUCAAAGAGGAGAGCC